ACGCUAGCUACAGGCUUAACACAUGCAAGUCGAGGGGCAGCAUGUUGGUUGCUUGCAACCAAUGAUGGCGACCGGCGCACGGGUGAGUAACGCGUAUCCAACCUACCCAAUACUCAGGCAUAACCCGUUGAAAGACGGACUAAUUCCUGAUGGUAUGUAUCUUUCUCAUGAUUUAUACAUUAAAGAAUUUCGGUAUUGGAUGGGGAUGCGUCUGAUUAGUUUGUUGGUGAGGUAACGGCUCACCAAGACUUCGGUCAGUAGGGGUUCUGAGAGGAAGGUCCCCCACAUUGGAACUGAGACACGGUCCAAACUCCUACGGGAGGCAGCAGUGAGGAAUAUUGGUCAAUGGAUGGAAAUCUGAACCAGCCAAGUAGCGUGCAGGAUGACGGCCCUAUGGGUUGUAAACUGCUUUUAUGUGAGAAUAAAGUUAGGUAUGUAUACUUAUUUGCAUGUAUCACAUGAAUAAGGACCGGCUAAUUCCGUGCCAGCAGCCGCGGUAAUACGGAAGGUCCAGGCGUUAUCCGGAUUUAUUGGGUUUAAAGGGUGCGUAGGCCGUUUGAUAAGCGUGCUGUGAAAUAUAGUGGCUCAACCUCUAUCGUGCAGCGCGAACUGUUGAACUUGAGUGCGUAGUAGGUAGGCGGAAUUCGUGGUGUAGCGGUGAAAUGCUUAGAUAUCACGAAGAACUCCGAUUGCGAAGGCAGCUUACCGUAACGUUACUGACGCUUAAGCACGAAGGUGCGGGUAUCGAACAGGAUUAGAUACCCUGGUAGUCCGCACAGUAAACGAUGGAUGCUCGCUGUUGGCCUUUAAUGGUCAGUGGCUUAGCGAAAGCGUUAAGCAUCCCACCUGGGGAGUACGCCGGCAACGGUGAAACUCAAAGGAAUUGACGGGGGCCCGCACAAGCGGAGG
rnacentral:rRNA from 1 species